ACAGAACUUUUUCUAUAUCUUAACAAUUACUUUCAACUGCACCCCUAAAACGAAAAGGAACCUCAUAAAGAUGGAUUCUGAUGAUUUGGAGUACAAUGAUUGUUCAGCGUAAGCAUGUCAAGAUGUUCUGCAACUUCACAGAGCUCCUCACAGGAAUCCAUGGAUAGUCUUUGCUUGCUUUACUGUUUCUGAAUGCCAUUCUAUUAUAAACCAACACGUGAAAAUCGGAAUCAGAGAGGAUGAUGUAUUGUUUCAGUCUAAUUAUUACGAAAGUAGAAAGUUUUCAGAAGCCAUGGAUAAGUAAAGGGAAAGAAAGAGCAUGUUGAUCACCGUGGUCCAGAUCAUUUCACUUUGCAAUGCAACUCCAUUUUCCUCUAAUUGGCUUCAAGUAAUAAGUACUGAGAAAAGUAAUUUAAAAAGUAUUAGGUUAUAAAUUAAAUAUUAAAUUUUAUUUUUUGAAGAUAAGUAAUGAUUUAAAUGAAAGAAUAGUGAUUUGUACAAAUACAAAAAACAGUAGAUCUACUGUAAAAAAAGGGCGGUGCUAUAUACAGUCUUCUUUAGAGGACUGUAUUGCAGUUCUAGUGUCUAAAAUGACUAGAUUGUCCACAUUUUUAGACUUGAAAUUACUACUUUACCCCUCCUUCUGCUAAAACCAAAAGCUAUGAUAACAUUUGACUUUCUGAAAUACUCCUGCGCCCAGACCAAUCUCCAUGGAUGGAAAAACCACCUCUACCAUCAAUGGCGUCACAUACUCAAGUUCUUGUUUUCUAGGAAACGAGAAGGGAGAUCGAUUGCAAGGAUAGUAGUCAUGCUUUUGCAAAUCACUUGCUCGAGUUUCACUCAUAUGUGGAAAUAAAUGAAUACUAUGUACUAAUUAGUGAGACAUCAAGAAUUAGCAAGGGGAUUUACCAGAACCAAAUACAAACACAUUCUAUAAUUUUUAUCUGUAUCUGAAGAAGAAAGGGGAUUUAUUCUUCUCUGAGGAAGAGGACGACGACGCAGCAUACGAUGGGGAGAGUUGAUGACCAUGGCGACGGGGUGAGGGGGACCGAUUUCAUCUAGGUAUGGGGAGCGAUUUCAUCUGGGCGAGGGGAGGCAAUUUCAUCUAUGUAUGGAGCGUUUUGGUUUCAUGUAAUGAAACGCAACGUUUUAUUUAAUAAUGAAACACUGCAUUUCAUCAUGCUUGGAACGGGGAUUGCAAUAAGAAUUUCUCAAAAAAGUAUAAAACAAAUCAUAUUUUUCU